AGUUAUCUUGGCGGCGACUGAAUCAAUUUUAUAAAGCAAUAUCAAUAAAUUGUCCAUUGAGGCAGAAGGGCCACUUUCGCACAAAGACGCACAGACACCUAAGGAAUUUGAAUGGUUAGGAGGGAGAUUGUUGUGGCCCCAGCUCCAUUCAAUUAUCAUCAAUUCAAAUAUGCUUGAAUAGUGGUGUGGUUUGUGGCGAUGGAAUGAGUUCAUGGCCUAAAUCAACCACAAUAGAAACACACACCCAUGCUCGCAAGGAUACAAGUGGAGAAAAGUUUACAUUGCCCUUUUUUGAUGAAGUUAAGAUUCACAUAAAAUUUCAUUUGAAACCUCAACAAAAUAUUCGGCAAUAAUAACUGCAGGGCCACACAGAGAGAAACGGAGAGACAGAAAGCAUCAACAGUCGGCUGCCGGUAUUGGAAAUGCUUACAAAUGCAUUGCAUGACCCAUGAAAUCAGUUGAUAUACACCCAGAGCCGAAGUAGCAGGGUGGAGUUUCAGAAGCCACAAUAACGAGCAGCAACAUCAAAAUUGACUGUGGGCUAGGGCAGCACUAAACGCGCCAAAAGGCAAGAGGGCCGCCGAACGUCAUGGUUAACCAUUCCGAUAAUGAGUUUUCAUUUGGCUGUUAACAACAGCAACACAAAUCCCGGCAGCAAGCAGCCUUUCGCUUAGUUAACAGGAAACGGAAGUCACGUCUACAUAGCACGACAUUCAUAUUAGCCAACACCCAGCUCCCUGCCCUCCCCCCGCCCCCACUAUACACACAAAAGCCCACACCACAGCAUAUCACAACAACCCAAAACAAAACAGCAAAAAAAAACAACGGCAACAUCAAUAGCAGCAAUCAAAUUUUGUUAACCGCACCAAAGCAUCCGCAAAGAAACACUGACGGCACCAACAACAAAGUCCCGACCACCCGCCUCGCAGCAAAAUACAGCCAGCCAACACACACACACACAUAACCGAGCGUGAACAAAGGUCCUGGCUGGGGUGACAGGAUAAAAUGAAGCAUUUGGACUAUAAAAUCGGGUUUAUUUACAACAUUAUCGAAAUAUUUAAAGGAUGAAGAGUGGCACGUCAUAUUGGACACUUCCAUUUGUUAUUCGCAAUUUGUUAACCUUUGCCCUGGUCAUUGGUUUGCAAAAUCAUCUGCUGUAUAAACUAACCAAAAGAGUUACGGCUGUAGCAGUGGCCCUACCACAAACCCAGGCAACAGCAGUUAGCAGAGCAACCGUAGCAUUUGUUGAAGGCCUCCAAUUCGAUGCUUUCGAUACAACACGUACAACGUUUGCCUCGUCCUCGUCCUCGUUGUCGUCAUCGUCGUCUGCGUCAUUGUCAUCAUUUGAAGGAGCCGGUGGUACACAAAUGUCUUCAUUGCCAUCAUUCUCAACAU